rnacentral:lncRNA from 1 species
AAGCUCACUAGUCCCACUCAUUUGAGACAUAGUGACUCACUCACUAAUUCCUCACCAUGGGAAUUAGCUACCACCCCAAAUGGGCCAUGCUAUGCACGCUAAUCAUCUAGCAUGCAAACAUCAACAACAACAAUCAAAAUGAUUUACUCACUAAUUCCUCACCAUGGGAAUUAGCUACCACCAUAAGGCCACAAUAUGCAUGCAAAUCACCUAGCAAUGCAACGUCAACAACAAUUUAAGAAUAGACACAUGCUCACACUCUAAGCCAUAAAAUAGUCUAUUCACAAAUGCAUACAUUCACAUCAUCAUGUAUACCAUCACAUAUCAUCAACAAAAGCAUAUCAUAUCAUGCCACAUAAUCAAUCAUAGUAUUAGCACA